rnacentral:rRNA from 1 species
UACGAAGGGGGCUAGCGUUGCUCGGAAUCACUGGGCGUAAAGGGUGCGUAGGCGGCGGGGUAAGUCUGGUGUGAAAUCUCGGAGCUCAACUCCGAAAUUGCACUGGAUACUGCUCUGCUUGAGGGUUGGAGAGGAGAUCGGAAUUCACGGUGUAGCAGUGAAAUGCGUAGAUAUCGUGAGGAAGACCAGUGGCGAAAGGCGGAUCUCUGGACAAAUCCUGACGCUGAGGCGCGAAGGCUAGGGGAGCAAACGGG